CCUACGGGAGGCAGCAGUGGGGAAUAUUGCACAAUGGGCGAAAGCCUGAUGCAGCAACGCCGCGUGAGGGACGACGGCCUUCGGGUUGUAAACCUCUUUUAGUAGGGAAGAAGCGAAAGUGACGGUACCUGCAGAAAAAGCACCGGCUAACUACGUGCCAGCAGCCGCGGUAAUACGUAGGGUGCAAGCGUUAUCCGGAAUUAUUGGGCGUAAAGAGCUCGUAGGCGGUUUGUCGCGUCUGCUGUGAAAACUGGAGGCUCAACCUCCAGCCUGCAGUGGGUACGGGCAGACUAGAGUGCGGUAGGGGAGAUUGGAAUUCCUGGUGUAGCGGUGGAAUGCGCAGAUAUCAGGAGGAACACCAAUGGCGAAGGCAGAUCUCUGGGCCGUAACUGACGCUGAGGAGCGAAAGCAUGGGGAGCGAACAGGAUUAGAUACCCUGGUAGUCCAUGCCGUAAACGUUGGGAACUAGAUGUAGGGACCAUUCCACGGUUUCUGUGUCGCAGCUACGCAUAACGUUACCCGUCCGUCGGGAGGUACGGCCGCGACGGACGUAAACGUACAACUAGAAGUUAGUACGGCGUGAGACGUCGCCGACGGACGACCGACGAGGGAGGAGG
rnacentral:rRNA from 1 species